ACUCAGGGCUUCAUGCACGCCAGGGCAGUCCUGGGUCAAUGGUCUCUUUCCCCUCCUCCUGUUGGAUAGAUGAAGAGGCCUGAGCAGGAAGGUGGUGGUUCCGUGGGGAAUCUUCAGUGACUGGAGUAUGUUGUAAGGAUGGUGAAUCGUCACUUGGCCAGCCAGGGUUUGGCAGUCAAGACAGAGAGCAGUGUCUGGGCCCACAGCAUGAGAGACUGCUGGACUUCAGUCUUCGGAGCAGGCAAGAACGGGGAGCUUCUGUGGAUUUCUAUUCCUGUCGCCUGUCACUGUGAACAGUGCCCAGUACUGCUGGUCAGUAAAUGUUUGCUAAAAUACUGAGCAACCAAGGAAGUGACUUCAGUUGAACUCUGUACCUGUUGUGUUCACUUCCUUUGCAACAUGCGUGACUAAUGGUUACUCCUUCUCUUGAAUGCUUCCAGAAGAGUAGCACUCACCACCUCAUGAGGAAAGGCACUGCAACUUUGGUCAAUGAUAUCUGUUAGAAAGAUCUUUUCCUAUAUUUAGAAGAGUGAUUCUCAUACCUGAGCAUGUAUGAGAAUCAGUGGGUUUGAGGUGGGCCCAAGAAUUUCCCUUUCUAACAAGUUCCCAGAAGAUGCUGAUGUGGCAGCUUCUAGCACAGUGCUUGGAAAUCCAUGAGUUUUCAAGAGGACAAUCUAAAGUGUUCCUUUGUUUUCCUUUACUUCCCCUCAUUCUCAAAUCCUAUGGGGAUGACACAGAGAACCACAAACAAAACAACACACACACACACACACACACACACACAUACACACACAGAGCACCCUUGUCCCUAGCUUUAUCCUCUGGGAUACACAGGACAAGCUCCUCCCUGUUCUAUGUGCAACUUUUAAAAUAUGUGCAACUUUUAAAAUACGUGGAUGUGGCUUUCACAUCUUCUUAGUCCCUCUUUAGCAGAUUUUUUACAAAACAAAUAAGCCAGGAAACCAUGGUCUGAAAGGAUUCCUGCUCUGGUGAGAUCCAAGACCCACAGCGAGGGCGAAGACAGAGGUCUUGCUGCAGCCCCGGCUUCCUCCACAUGGAGGUCCCAGGAAGACGGCAUAAGCCAUUGCCUCGAUAAUAACCUGCUUGCUAACUUCCAGCCAGUGCUUCCACAUUUUCAUGACUUCCAAAGGUUCAGAUGAGGAUGGUAGUUGUGAGUUUGGGAUGAAGUCUUCUGAGCGACUCCUAUGGCCCAGCCACAGGGACCUGGGGCUGGAGAGAGAGGACCAUCCCAGGCUGCAGCAGCCAACACCUGUGUGGAGGUGCAGGCCCGUGGCCCCCAGCUGUGGUGGACACAGCUGUGCUUCCUGAUAGCACCCUUCCCUGCACCUACACCGUGACAUCCUCCUCCUCAGCCUGAGUGCAGGCACCACCUGAAGGGUAUUUGGGGGAGGGCACCAGUGUCCCCAAGGUAGGAGCUAGUGCAUAUGGCCUCGUCCUUCAGAGGGACAAUUCUGAGAGGCAAUCUGCGUGCUUUCAAAGGCCCAGAAACACACCCUGUGUUGCCUCCUCCCUGUCUGACUCUUCCUCUUCCUCCUGCUCCCUGGGACCAGCUCCCAAACAAACUCAAUUUCUUCUCUCAGUCGAAGUUUGCUAAGUGAGUGAAGAGUCAAAUAAAUGAUGUUGCUUAACUCUCCCUCUGAUGUGUGAAUGUCCUCUAGGAACAAGCCUUUUGUAGGAGAACUGUAGGCCAGGGCUGAGUGCACCUGGGAUGCAGGAUCUCCAGGGGGGACCUAUCACUUGUGCGAAUUUAAACCUGCUCAGAGCUUAGGGCCCGGCUCUGCUCAAGAUGGGCAGAAAUAAAGAAGACUAAACAUUUACAUCUCAAGAGUUUAUUUACCCUGGCCUGACUCUUCAAAAAAUGCCAUUGCUGCUACCCUGAGGAUUAACCAUGGCCAUUUUUAGACCAGGUGCCAUCCUGCCUUUAGCCUCGGGUCACCCCUCUGACUCACUGCCAGGAAACGGAGCCUAGACCCUGAUGUGUGGUGAGAAUUGGCCUGGUUUUCACCUGAGAUCCACACUUGAGAAAGCUGAUUGAACUCACAGCGUGCCAUCCUGCCUAAGAUCCUCUUCAGAGAUUCUAUUUCCCAGAGGGAGGGGAUCACUUUCCGCAGUGGGGUUUCUAUCUGGGACAUUUCUCUUCAUCUGUAGGAACCCUAUUUAAAGGCUAGAAAAUCUGAGGGAGAAGUGGAAAGAAGAAAGCUGUGUAGCUGUGACGAUGGCCUGGGACAUGGAUUCCCAAAGCCUGACCCUCCGCUGUGCCCCCUGCUCCCCAGCAGGCAUGGUUAGCCUGUCAUGGAACCCUGCACCUGAGCCUGGGCGAGCUCCAGAUUCCUCAGCACACAGAGCUCCAAGCUCCUCCUGCCAGGCCGCCAGGGCUGGCUCCCGAGAGAAUGCACAAGCCUUUUGUGGUGUCUGAGAAAACACAGCUGAAUCUACUAGGCAAGGGGUUGUAUAGGGCACCUCGGGAAGAAGUCGCACAGGUGCCCCCAGAGAUCUCAGGGGCAGGGAGGGGCUCACCCAUAAGGGAAGGGGAGGACUCAGAAGGCUUUGAGGAAGAGGCAGCUCCUAAAAUGGGUGAGGGCAGAGUGUGCCCUGAGGCCCCACAGCAGGCAAGCAGGUGACUGGAGAAGCAGCUAGGUCUGGUGCCUGUGUGCCAGGCUUGUAUGCCAGGGCUGGGCUGCAUGGGAUGCACAAU
rnacentral:lncRNA from 1 species